GUUAGGUUCAAUGUGAGUUAGUGUGGGGGAGGUCUUACCUCAGUGCCCAUUGGGAUUCGGGCCAGCAAACAGCUUCUUCUCAUCCUCCAGCUCCUGUUUGCCUGGGCCUUUAGUCUUCACAGCUUGAGGGAUGGAGGUUGAGGCGAUCCUGGCGUCCCUCAGGGCUGCAGCUGCGCUGGAUGGUGGCCGGCGACUGAGGGAGCAAUUUGGGCAC